GACGAACGCUGGCGGCGUGCUUAACACAUGCAAGUCGAACGGUGAAGCGCCUUCCUUUUUGGUGGGUGUGGAUGAGUGGCGAACGGGUGAGUAACACGUGAGUAACCUGCCCCCUUCUUCUGGAUAACCGCAUGAAAGUGUGGCUAAUACGGGAUAUUCUGGGUCUGUCGCAUGAUGGGUCUGGGAAAGAUAUUGUUUCGGUGGGGGAUGGGCUCGCGGCCUAUCAGCUUGUGGGUGGGGUGAUGGCCUACCAAGGCGGUGGCGGGUAGCCGGCCUGGGGGGGUGGACGGUCACACUGGGAGUGAGACACGGCCCAGAUGCGUAAGGGAGGAGGCGGUGAGGAAUAUUGAAGGAUGGGCGCAAGCCUGAUGCAGCGACGCCGCGUGAGGGAUGGAGGCCUUCGGGUUGUGAACCUCUUUCGCCAGUGAAGCAGGCCUGCCUCGUUUGUGGGUGGGUUGACGGUAGCUGGAUAAGAAGCGCCGGCUAACUACGU
rnacentral:rRNA from 1 species